GUGACACCAAGUUGGGAAAUUCAUUCUGGGUGUCUCAUUCCUGGAGGCUAUGCAACUGAGAGUAUAAAAAGCUGGCUCCUUGAGGAAACAUCUCAGAACAUCUCCUCAUUUCUGACAUCUUCAAACCCUUUGGGAACCGCCUCUCUCCAACAUCCUAAGAUGGCUGCCAGCCGUUCAAUGUGGAACGAAUGCUACGCUCAAUGUCCAGCUUCAACUGUGACCAUCCAGCCACCACCUUUCGUCCUCACCAUCCCAGGACCUGCCCUCUACUGUCCUGACCAGCCUCUGGGCAUUGAACAGCACAACCCAUGUGCUGCAUAUCCUUUGCCCUUGACAAGGGGUGGCUCCAACUUCAACAGCUUCUAUUCCCAAGCUUUGCCGAGUGCCAACUUCAGCUCCUCCACCUAUCGGUCAUCUUAUUAACCCCCCUGAGCAUGACGAUGAAGUCCUUCUCCAUCAGUGGACUUUCUGGAAGCCAGCCAGUUGACCAUUUACAAUGAUACACCUGUUUCUUUCCACAUUCACAUCUAAGCCAGACCUAACUCCUUUCCUCUCUACGUUUGACAAGCCACCAGACUCUGGUUACCCUUCCACUGAAUUCCCAAAACAGAGAAAGAUCCUUCUGUACAGAUCGGAUAUGAUUCCAUAGCUGGUUGAAAGGGGACCUAUGGAAGGUUGACAAGAGGAAAACCCAGUUCUGGGGAUGGAAGUCCAUCCUUGCAGUCAAAUGUUCAUCCUGUAAAACAUGUUCUCAUGUGUCUUUGUUCAUAUUAAAAAAAUCUCUAAGGUUGCAUUCCAAAA